CAGGCGAGCUCGGACAGGGGCGGGCACAGGCGAGCUCCACCUACAGCAGGGAGCGUCACAUCCCAAUAUCUACCAGGGAUCUGCUGCAGACACUGUAGGCUUCGGAAGAUUUGAGCACAAGUCGGGAUGCUCCCGUUCAUCUUUGGUUGUUUCCUUUCCCCUCUCUCUAC